GUAGUUUUGUAAAAUCUAAACUAUAAUUUUAGGACAAAUUACAGAAGACUGUGAUCAACUCAAGAACUAUAUAUGCAGGAUGAUUAAAUAAUCGAGAACAUUCCCUUCAGCCUGUCAAUCUAUUAGUUAUAUCAAUAUUUUAAAAAUGUAAUUUUUAUCUGUAUUUAAAACUGAGAUAACAUGUAAACCAGAUUUUAAUCAAGUUUUUAAAGAAAACUAAUAUUUUCACAUUUUUUAUGUAUAAACCUUGUAAACAACUAUUUAAUCCCAAGCUUUCACUCACAAUAUAAAGAUCGUCAUGUUGCAGAUGAUCAUGGGAGAUCAAGAUCAUUAAGACUCCCUAAUCCUAUCUCAAGAAGUGAUCCUGUUAUCCGAAUAACAUUCUAGUUGUUUGAUCCAGUUGAUCAUCAAGAGUUGAUCAGUAUAACCCAGAGUUCUUGAGGCUCCAAAAGAGGCUCGGGUAGUCUCACAAGCACAAGCAGGCUGAAAGAAUUUGACCACAACUAUAUGCUUCUUCAAAAACUACUACUGUACUCUUGAGGGAUUGUACCUAGAUCAAUUCCUGAAGGUGAAUAUUACUCCUGAGAUUUCAUUAUUUAUUCUUUGAAGAAUUAGAUCGUUCUAGACCUGACUUUAAACUAAUCCUGGAAAAUACUUAUCUACAUGCAUUUAUCCUACUGAAUCAAAGAAGAAUUACAGUCAGCAGUGUUCACAUGACACACUUAAAAGGAGAAUUAAACUGUAUACACGGAGAACGGAGAACUAUAUAUUGGAGAACUUGAACCUGAUAAACCCCAACAGAAGAUAUUUGGUUCAGCGUGAGAGAAACCCAAACCGCCAUCAAAUGUAAGAUUUUAUU